GAUGAACGCUGGCGGCGUGCCUAAUACAUGCAAGUCGAGCGAACAGACGAGGAGCUUGCUCCUCUGACGUUAGCGGCGGACGGGUGAGUAACACGUGGAUAACCUACCUAUAAGACUGGGAUAACUUCGGGAAACCGGAGCUAAUACCGGAUAAUAUAUUGAACCGCAUGGUUCAAUAGUGAAAGACGGUUUUGCUGUCACUUAUAGAUGUAUCCGCGCCGCAUUAGCUAGUUGGUAAGGUAACGGCUUACCAAGGCGACGAUGCGUAGCCGACCUGAGAGGGUGAUCGGCCACACUGGAACUGAGACACGGUCCAGACUCCUACGGGAGGCAGCAGUAGGGAAUCUUCCGCAAUGGGCGAAAGCCUGACGGAGCAACGCCGCGUGAGUGAUGAAGGUCUUCGGAUCGUAAAACUCUGUUAUUAGGGAAGAACAAAUGUGUAAGUAACUAUGCACGUCUUGACGGUACCUAAUCAGAAAGCAACGGCUAACUACGUG
rnacentral:rRNA from 1 species